rnacentral:rRNA from 1 species
GCAAGAUACCACGGGCGCACGGCGGAUGCCUUGGCACAGGGAGCCGAUGAAGGACGCGGCAAGCUGCGAUAAUCCCCGGCGAGGAGCACACAUCCUUCGACCCGGGGGUCUCCGAAUGGGCGAACCCAUCCACAGCAGUGUGGAUAUCCCCACCCCGAACUCAUAAGGGUGGGGAGGACAACCCGGGGAACUGAAACAUCUAAGUACCCGGAGGAGAGGAAAUCAAUCUCGAGACUCCCCGAGUAGCGGCGAGCGAAAGGGGACCGAUGGCCAAACCGUCGAGCGGGCAUACCCGGCAGGGGUUCCGCCGACGGGGUUGCAGGGCCGCGCAUCCGGGGGCUGCCGCCCCCGGGCGCAGGUCCGGCUGGGGAGCGGAACGGCAUGGGAGGGCCGGCCGCAGCGGGUGACAGCCCCGUACGCGAACCCAGACCGGACGGCGCGACGCGGUCCCUGAGUAGGGCCGGGCACGUGAAACCCGGUCCGAACCUGGGUGGACCACCAUCCAAGCCUGAGUACUACCCUGUGACCGAUAGCGCACCAGUACCGUGAGGGAAAGGUGAAAAGCACCCCGGGAGGGGAGUGAAACAGUACCUGAAACCGUGCGCCCACGAGCAGUCGGAGCAACUUUCAGUUGUGACGGCGUGCCUUUUGUAGAAUGAGCCAGCGAGUCGCUGGCGCGGGGCGAGGUUAACCGAAAGGGAGCCGGAGCGAAAGCGAGCCUUAACAGGGCGACUUGAGUCCCGCGCCGCGGACGCGAAGCCGGGUGAGCUAUCCGUGGGCAGGCUGAAGCGGGGGUAAGACCCCGUGGAGGGCCGAACGCACGUCGGUUGAAAACGGCGGCGAUGACCUGCGGAUAGGGGUGAAAGGCCAAUCAAACCCGGAGAUAUCUCGUUCUCCCCGAAAUAGCUUUAGGGCUAGCGUCGCGCGUUCACCGCCGGAGGUAGAGCACCGGAUGGACGAGGGGGCUUCGCCGCCUACCGAAUCCAACCGAACUCCGAAUGCCGGCGGCCCAGAGCGCGGCAGUCAGAGCAUGUGGGCUAAGCUGUGUGCUCGAGAGGGAAACAGCCCGGACCGCCCGCUAAGGUCCCCAAGUUCCAGCCGAGUGGCAAAGGAUGUGCGUCCGCCCAGACAACCAGGAUGUUGGCUUAGAAGCAGCCAUGCAUUCAAAGAGUGCGUAACAGCUCACUGGUCGAGUGGACAUGCGCCGACAAUACACGGGGCUAAGCUGGACACCGAAGCGGCGGGAUUUUAUUCAUUAGAAUCGGUAGGGGAGCUUCCCAUGGGCGGAGAAGCCGGAGGGCGACCGACGGUGGAGCGCAUGGGAGUGAGAAUGCUGGCAUGAGUAGCGAGAGACGAGAGAGUAACUCGUCCGCCGUGAACCCGAGGUUUCCUGGGCAAGGCUAAUCCUCCCAGGGUCAGUCGGGGGCUAAGGCGAGGCCGGUAGGCGUAGCCGACGCGCAGCAGGCAGACAUUCCUGCACCGCGCACGCGGCGCUACGACCGACGGGGCGACGGAUGGGGGUGGCUCGGCGGGGUUCUGGACGUCCCCGUGAUGGAGCGCGGCCCGCGGACCAGGGAAAUCCGGUCCGCACGAGGGCGAGGCUCCGGACGAAGCGAUUGAGCGAAGCGAGUGAGCCCGAGGUCCCUAGAAAAACCCCUAGGCAGGCGCGUGCGCGCCCGUACCGCAAACCGACACAGGUGGGUGGGUAGAACAUACCGAGGCGAUCGGGUCAACCAUGGUCAAGGAACUCGGCACAAUGGCCCCGUAACUUCGGGAGAAGGGGUGCCCGCGCGUACGUGAACGGACUUGCUCCGGGAGCGGAGGCGGGCCGCAGUGGAGAGGCCCAAGCGACUGUUUACCAAAAACACAGGACUCUGCAGAAGCCGCAAGGCGACGUAUAGGGUCUGACGCCUGCCCGGUGCCGGAAGGUCACGCGGAGGGGUUAGCCGUAUCGGCGAAGCCCCGAAGCCAAGCCCCGGUAAACGGCGGCCGUAACUAUAACGGUCCUAAGGUAGCGAAAUUCCUUGUCGGGUAAGUUCCGACCUGCACGAA